rnacentral:rRNA from 1 species
GACGAACGCUGGCGGCGUGCUUAACACAUGCAAGUCGAACGGAAAGGCCCUGCUUUUGUGGGGUGCUCGAGUGGCGAACGGGUGAGUAACACGUGAGUAACCUGCCCUUGACUUUGGGAUAACUUCAGGAAACUGGGGCUAAUACCGGAUAGGAGCUCCUGCUGCAUGGUGGGGGUUGGAAAGUUUCGGCGGUUGGGGAUGGACUCGCGGCUUAUCAGCUUGUUGGUGGGGUAGUGGCUUACCAAGGCUUUGACGGGUAGCCGGCCUGAGAGGGUGACCGGCCACAUUGGGACUGAGAUACGGCCCAGACUCCUACGGGAGGCAGCAGUGGGGAAUAUUGCACAGUGGGCGGAAGCCUGAUGCAGCAACGCCGCGUGCGGGAUGACGGCCUUCGGGUUGUAAACCGCUUUCGCCUGUGACGAAGCGUGAAUGACGGUAAUGGGUAAAGAAGCACCGGCUAACUACGUG